UACGAAGGGGGCUAGCGUUGCUCGGAAUCACUGGGCGUAAAGGGUGCGUAGGCGGGUUUUUAAGUCGGGGGUGAAAUCCUGGAGCUCAACUCCAGAACUGCCUUUGAUACUGAAGAUCUUGAGUCCGGGAGAGGUGAGUGGAACUGCGAGUGUAGAGGUGAAAUUCGUAGAUAUUCGCAAGAACACCAGUGGCGAAGGCGGCUCACUGGCCCGGUACUGACGCUGAGGCACGAAAGCGUGGGGAGCAAACAGG
rnacentral:rRNA from 1 species